rnacentral:rRNA from 1 species
GCGCGAACUUCGGUUUGGCGGCGAGUGGCGAACGGGUGAGUAAUAUAUCGGAACGUACCCAGUAGAGGGGGAUAGCCCGAGGAAACUCGGAUUAAUACCGCAUACGCCCCACGGGGGAAAGCGGGGGUCUUCGGACCUCGCGCUAUUGGAUGAGCCUGCGUUGGAUUAGCUAGUUGGUAGGGUAAAGGCCUACCAAGGCGACGAUCCAUAACUGGUCUGAGAGGAUGAUCAGUCACACUGGAACUGAGACACGGUCCAGACUCC